AAAGGAAAAUGAAAAAGAUGGGUGAGGAAUAUUAUAAAAACCAAAGAGAGAGGAGAAGCUAAAUGGCAAAAUGGAACUGGUCAGUGAUUCCUGAUUUCCCCCACAACCCUGAAGGAAACAGUGAAAAAGAGCAGUUCUGAGAGAAAUCUGUUUUCAGUGAUGAAAGCAGAAGUUCUUUUAUGACUGAGGUGAAUGGAACAAAUGASAAUAUGUGAAGAGAUGAACAUAAGAAGGGGUUGGAAGAAUUAAAGUCCUAUUGUGAAUGUAGCUAAAAGGAGUUUGAUUCAAGAAAACACUAGAGAGAUGCUUAAGACACACACGACCAUUUUAUAAGAGGCACUCUGUUCCAGCAUUUCAUCAUGAGGUAAUUAAUGGUAUGGCUUGAGGUACAGCCAUAUGCUCAAUUACAGAGAAUGUUGUGGAAUAAUUAAUUUAACAUGCAUUCCACCUCUCUCCCAUGGUGAAGCAAUCAUGCGUGUGAGGUCACGGCUCUUCUCCAAACAUAGAUCUUUAAAAACACACACCUCAUCUCCCUUGCUUAUGAGUUAGUCAGGAUCCUGACCAAAGCCAGUUUCUGUAUAGCUUACCUAUGAUUAUGACCUAUAAAAUAAAUUAACCCCCUAACAUAUG